CUGGAACAUUUAUACCUGCUUUAUGUCUGAACUACUGCCAGUCCUAUCCACUGGUGAAAAGGAAGCAUAAUGAUCAGAAACAGCUUGUGUGUUAGCCUGUGUCUAUCUUAUGCAGAACAAAGCUUGAAAACCUUCUGGUCAUAAGUCUCAGCACAUCUUCUUCAGUCUUGACAUUUUCUGUUUUUGCCUGAGGACCUAAAGCAGGGUGAAGUCGUUUAGGGUUUGCGCUAAAGAACCAGGUGAAGAUGUAAGUCCCAUGCAAGUUUUACACCCUGUAACUAUGAAAAGAACCUACAGAAGACACAAAGGUGGAGACAUUCCUGCCCUGGAGGUUUCCCAAGAGACAAAAAUGUAAAGGAGCUAGGAGAAGACUGCAAAUCAACCAAAUACAAAUUAGUGAGAUGAUAGCCUGUAAACAGCAGAGCAGCAGUGUGGCUUUUGAAUUGAGAAUUAAACCUAAGGAUACACACACCCCCCAAAAAAGUCAGCAGCGUGUUUAAUGCUAACUGGCAAUCCCACUGACAUUUUACUGACCCCCCUGUUGAGACUACAGAUGACGAGAACUGAAUGUGCACAGUGGCUGAGCAAUCUUUUUUCUUCUGGCAAGUCAGCAGGGGAGAAAAAAGGAAAUUUGCCUACUGCUUGCUAUUCUCUGUGGUUAAAUCCAAGGUUUCUCAUGCUGUCUCCCACUGUGAACGUAAAUUCAUUUGAAAAACAAACAAAAUAGAGGAGGGAAAAAUAGGUUCUUAAUGCAAAUUGCCUAGUACUAUGCAAAUAAAGAAGCUAAUAAUAAGUGAUAGCAAUAUAGACUCAUUCCUUUAUUAAGAGAAAUAAGACAGUCUCCUUUGAUAUCAUUUAUAGUUGCAAAUUGAAGAUAUAGGCAUUUUUUUCUCUUUUGUGUGACUGCAGUUUAUUAAUCGUCACCCUUUUAUGUUCAUUUUCAGGUCAGUGAUUUCUUUCAUCUUCUUAGGAUUUCAUAUAAUAAGGUCACCUACUGACUCAGAGCUUUUUUAAAUGUCUUCUCUCCAUCUUUCCUCCUUCCCUCCAAUUAUGGCUCUUCUCCCAGUCCCUAGAGUUUAGGCCAAGAAUUAAUGAUUUAGGGGAAAUUUCCUUUCAGUAUAAGGAAGUAAAAAUAACACUGAGGUUUCUGGGAGAUUCACCAUUGAAACAGAACCUGUAAUACAGAUCCAAAUGAAUAUCUGAGAGUUUCUGUGCUGGUGAACAGUUAUGUUAUUAAUUGCAGGACACAAAACACUUUGCCUCACAAACAUGAAAAUGAGAUAAAAAGUGGACUUAUAGUGAUGACCAAAUUACAGCUAGUUACUAAGUUACCAUUCAUCAGCCUAGCUAUGGUAAAUGACUGUCUGUACAUGUAUUUUUAGGCUGUGGCAAAUGUGAGAUAAUAUAUAUUAUUUAUGGUUUUAGGACAAGAAAGUAUCUUCAGAGUGGGUUACCAUAGCUCAGCUGAGGUACGAUAACCCACUGAGAAGUAAUUAAUGGUUACUAUUAGUCUGGUCUACACAGCUAAAAAGUACAAAGACUUACCUUGAAGAACACAGGGAUCUAUACAAAAGUUGUUGGCAGCCUUACAAGGAUGUUUCUUAGAAGUGUUCUGUGUUAGACAUUGGGACAAGUAUCCUGUGAUCCCAAUACAUUAACACAUUGAAUCUAUAUGUUUCUUGUGUUAGGUACAGAACAUUUAUAUGUUAACUGGAUACCUUUUAAUGCCACGAAUAAUAAGUAAUGAUGAAAAGUACAUGUUUGAAAAGUAAUAAACCAUUCCAGAUUUUCCUGUGCAAUGCCAUAUAAAUUAAUGUAUGGAACUUGAUUUUGCUCAGGUCAUAUACAUUGCUGAGAGGUAUAGAGAUAGAGGUAGGAGCAAGUAAAACAUUUUACUCAUUUGAAAUCUGUUUUGAAAAAACAGCAAUUUAUUUACAGACACUUAUUAACUAUUUCCUCUUGUUUGCCUAUGAAUAGGUACGUUAGAGUCUAAUUGCCCAGAUUAUUUGUUGGCCCCAUUCCACAUGUGUGAGAGAAAAUAUAUUUCUGGCUGAUGAAAUAA